GACGAACGCUGGCGGCGUGCUUAACACAUGCCAGUCGAACGGAAAGGCCCUGCUUUUGUGGGGUGCUCGAGUGGCGAACGGGUGAGUAACACGUGAGUAACCUGCCCUUGACUUUGGGAUAACUUCAGGAAACUGGGGCUAAUACCGGAUAGGAGCUCCUGCUGCAUGGUGGGGGUUGGAAAGUUUCGGCGGUUGGGGAUGGACUCGCGGCUUAUCAGCUUGUUGGUGGGGUAGUGGCUUACCAAGGCUUUGACGGGUAGCCGGCCUGAGAGGGUGACCGGCCACAUUGGGACUGAGGUACGGCCCAGACUCCUACGGGAGGCAGCAGUGGGGAAUAUUGCAAAAUGGGCGGAAGCCUGAUGCAGCCACGCCGCGUGCGGGAUGACGGCCUUCGGGUUGGAAACCGCUUUCGCCUGUGACGAAGCGUGAGUGACGGUAAUGGGUAAAGAAGCACCGGCUAACUACGUG
rnacentral:rRNA from 1 species